UCCCGGAUCGUCCAACUGGCAGGACGCCUGAUUCUGGUUCAGGAAACCGAGGUUCGAAUCCUCGUCCGGGAGCGA
rnacentral:tRNA from 1 species